rnacentral:lncRNA from 1 species
AAUAACACAAGUUGAAUAUGGUUACUGGAGGUGCAAGACCAUCAUCAUCCAAUUUAUCAUGAGACCCUUGCCGCAUGCCUUGUAGAAGAAGUUCAGAGUUGAAUGCUCAAUUACCUUUUUCAAAGAAACAAGGAAUACACAGUUAAAAACUAAUGAUCACCAUUGUAUUAGUUCUGUCUGGAUGCCCAAAUUCCUCUCCUCAUCGCUGUAAUUUGAAGGGAGUUGAGAAAAACAGUACCUAUAUGAACGGAAGGAAAGUGAUCUGAAUAAUCCACGGUCAAUUGAUGAUUGGUUUGUAAUAAUAGAAUCUUCUUGGUUGUAUCCAGAAUAGCAUGCAAUGGCAACAAUAGUAUUCUGAGG